AGGACUAACGCUGGCGGCGUGCCUAACACAUGCAAGUCGAACGGACACCACUUUGUAGCAAUACAGAUGAAGUGUUAGUGGCAGACGGGUGAGUAACACGUAGUCAACCUGCCUUACCGUCCGGGAUAACUAGCCGAAGGUUAGCUAAUACCUGAUACGAUCGUUGAGUGGCAUCACUCGAUGAUGAAAGCGGCAAUGCGCGGUUAGAGGGGCUGCGGCCCAUUAGCUAGUUGGUGAGGUAAUGGCCCACCAAGGCAACGAUGGGUAGCUGGUCUGAGAGGACGACCAGCCACACUGGGACUGAGACACGGCCCAGACUCCUACGGGAGGCAGCAGUGAGGAAUUUUCCGCAAUGGGCGAAAGCCUGACGGGGCGACGCCGCGUGCACGAGGAAGGCCUUCGGGUCGUAAAGUGCUGUCGAGGGGGACGAUUAUGACGGUACCCCUGGAGGAAGCCCCGGCUAACUACGUGCCAGCAGCCGCGGU
rnacentral:rRNA from 1 species